rnacentral:misc_RNA from 1 species
CUUCUGGGCAUUCAAAUAGAUGCAGCAAUAAAUCCUGGUAAUAGUGGGGGCCCUGCAUUCAAUGAUGAUGGAGAGUGCAUAGGAGUGGCAUUUCAGGUUUACAGGUCAGAUGACGUUGAGAAUAUUGGUUAUGUUAUCCCAGCCAUGGUAGUGUCUCAUUUUCUGGAAGACUACGAAAGGAACGGGAAGUACAGUGGUUUUCCUUGCCUUGGGGUAUUGUUGCAAAAAUUGGAGAAUCCAGCACUACGUGCCUGCUUGAGAGUUCCUUCGAAUGAGGGCGUACUCGUACGGAAAAUCGAGCCUACUUCUGAUGUUAGCAAUGUCGUGAAAGAGGGCGACGUGAUUGUUAGCUUUGAUGGUGUUCGUGUCGGGUGUGAAGGGACAGUGCCAUUUCGAUCAAGUGAACGCAUUGCGUUUCGCUAUCUCAUCAGUCAAAAGUUCACUGGUGAUGUAGCUGAACUUGGUAUUAUUAGAGCUGGGGAAUUCCUGAAAGUUCAAGCAGUUUUGAAGCCACGUGUGCAUUUGGUUCCUUAUCACAUAGAAGGCGGUCAACCUUCAUACCUAAUAGUUGCUGGCUUGGUGUUUACACCUCUAUCCGAACCCUUAAUAGAGGAAGAAUGUGAAGAUACCAUAGGGCUAAAACUAUUGAUAAAGGCUCGAUACUCUUUUGCAAAGUUUGAAGAGGAACAGAUUGUCAUACUAUCACAGGUCUUGGCAAAUGAAGUGAAUAUUGGGUAUGAGGAUUUAAGCAAUGAGCAGGUCUUAAAGUUGAAUGGGACUCGAAUUAAGAACAUUCACCAUUUGGCUCAUCUAGUGGAUUCUUGCAAGGAUAAAUAUCUAGUGUUUGAAUUUGAAGACAACUUUCUGGUUGCUCUAGAAAGGGAGGCAGCCUCGUCUGCGUCAUCUAGUAUUCUUAUAGACUAUGGUAUUCCGGCUGAAAGAUCAUCGGAUCUCUUGGAGCCAUAUGUUGAUUCUAUUGGACCAUAUGAAGCAACUGAUCAACAUGAGUUUGGUGAUAGUCCAGUUUCUAAUUCAGAAUUUGGAUAUGAUGGGCUUCUUUGGGCUUGAUCAUGACAUGUGAAGUUCAAUUCAAGGUUCUCAUUUGGACUAUUGUUCCUUCAUACUAAAGAACACGGAUGAUCAGGCAACAUUGACCAUGCGGAAUCUGUAUGGCAGGUGUUCUAGUUUGCUGUCUCCUUUGUCAAAGCUGUUGCAAGAUUGUCCCUGAGCGUGGAUAAUGUUCUAUACAAAUGAAGUGAACAACAAAAAUGUCCCCAGGUACACGCAUUUUUUUUCACGUGUAAGAAGGAUGUUAGAGAA